AGAUAAUAUGCAAAGGACUGUACAAGAUAGCCUUGGUAUCUCAAUGACAAAUAGUAAUUUUAAUGCUGUUUCAAAUACUUCAAAUUCUAAUCAGGAUGUUCGAUUAGAUUCAAAUGUGAAUGGAUCUUUCAUUAAUGGCGAUGAAUCUGCUCCUGAAAAUAUUCCUUGGCUUUUUGAUAUCUGCACCAGCUGUUUUACCCAUACCCACUGGGCAAAAGUGAUGCUGUAGGUUUCCAUCAGUGGAACUCUUAUGGUAGUACGUGGUCUAAAUGGAAUUUUUCAUUUCUUGCACUGUUGUUGAAGAUUUGUCUUGGAUAGCAUUCCCAUAGUAAAUUAUAAAUUGAUCAAUCACCUUCAAAAUUCCUGAGCCGAGUACCCAUUCUCUUGUGCACAUGGCACAUUCUUUCUUGCUAGUUGUUAAUUCAUUUCCAUAUAGAUUCCUGUUUUGGAUUGCCAAUGAAAUUUUGCAAUCACCAUCUCCAAUAUAGAAUUCAAGCAUGAAACAAUACUUCAAGUAUUUCCAAGAUGUCAUUGACUUCCAUUUUGCCAGCACAACCAACAUGAUUAGCUUGACACUUAGACUGAUGCUCUUCUCACCACUCGUUAUACUCAGCAGUACCUUUUUUGUUUUCCAUCUGUUUACAGUCCAAACAGUAGUUAUGUUUAACACAUGUGGCAAUCACUUUAUCAGUUUCAACUCCAAUUAAACUGGUCACUCCUUGGAGAGAAUUGAAUCCUUU